GCUGGCACGAAGCUCCCUCAGCCCCUGACUGACUGCAUCUCUGGGGGUGGCCUUAGUGUUUAGGCUGUUGUGGACCCAUGGGGUCAGACGGCAUGUGCACCUUUGUGGGUUUUGGCAGCCGAGGGUAAAAGGACUUUAGGAAGACAGUGCCCAUUCCCCCACAGCAGCCCGUGUAGUGCUCAGAGGAGCCAAGCCUCUCAGACUCAUGCCUGCCAGAGGCCCAGGAGGAAUCCAACGUUCGGGUCAGCGGGACGAGCACGUGGCAGCGUUUAUGGACUAGCAGCUUGCAGUUGAUGCACCUGUAGCCCUGCCUUGCGAGACCCCAUAUCCUUUCGCUGCACUGGCCACAGUACGCUCUCUGCAGGCAAGAACACAGCCAUUAAGCCGAGGUCCUGUGUAUCCUCUGAUGCCCAUGCUACACUGGAGACCCUGCUACGCACUGGGGCUUGUUGCAUCUUGCAGUUGACUCCCUCAAAAGAUGACAGGGAUCUAGGACAAGAGGUGCCCUGAUCACUGGUCACAUCUGGACACCAGGCUCUGUCCAAGCUAAAGAGCUCCCACUGGGGUCCAUCCCAAGGUUGGGGGAACCAAGGACCCCAAGGAGGGGGCUGGGACUCCACUCAUGCAGGAGUGAUGAGACCCCUCCUGGGGCAAGGCCCCCCUGCUUCCAGGGGCUGGAGGGGGAUCGCAGCAGAGACCCCCCUAGGCUGAGACAGGCAGGGGUAUGUCCAGAUUCUCAUCCGUGUGACCAAAGAGACAGAGAAUCUGCCUGGCGUUUGUUGUGUCGAAACACUGAACUGCUAGGAGCAGUCUAUGAUUAUCUUGGGGUGGGUAUUUUUGUGGUAUUUUUACAAUCUUUGCUCUUCAAGGUUCUAAACAUCUGAAAUUAAUGAUAACUAUCAGCUUGUUUGAUGGUUUUCCUAAUUUUUAAAAAAGAUUUUAUUAAUUUAUUAGAAUGAGAGAGAGAGAGUGAAUAUGCGAGAGCAGGAGCAGGGGGAGGAGCAGACAGAGGGAGAAGCAGACUCCCCGCAGAGCAGGGAGCCUGACCUGGGACUCAAUCCCAGGACACCAGGAUCAUGACCUGAGCUGAAAGCAGACGCUUCACUGACUGAGCCCCCCAAACGCCCCAUUUUCCUAAUUUCUGACUGUUACAACAUGCGCGAAGAUGAAUGUGUUCAGAAAUCUGGUCACAUGCGGCAGCGGGUGCACCUGCAUGUCAGUAGCGCCGGGGUCCCGUGAGCAUCUUUUUUCCAGCCGUAAUCCUAUGCAUGUUUUAGCUGCCUUGUGCCAUGUUUAACAAAUUUCAUUCUUUUGAGAGAGUCUAAUUACUCCUGAGAACAAUAAAAAGGACCAUAACUGUUCUGAACAGAGUUCAUUUACAGCAGCUGUGGUGCGUGUGUGGGGGGCACAGACUGGCCACGUGUCUGGAGCUCACAGCCAUGGGCACCGAGAAGCUGAUUCCUCAUCCUUGAAGCGCCAAGCAGGGAAGCAGCGCCCAAGGAGGCUGGUCCCCACCACUGAGCUUCUGGUCUUGCAGUCAGGCCUGGGGCAGUGCCCGGCACACCGUGCGUACCCAAUACAUGUUCCUAACGUCAGCUGCUUGGGCCAAAAAGCUUGGGAGAAACCCCUGACCAGCAUCUACAGGAAAUGCUCAUGCCUGGGGGUUCCACUCUGACCUCGCCCUUGUGCCUCCACUCCCCCCCCACCCCCCGCCCAUCUAUGUCACUGGUGUCUCUUUUUCUAGGGUAGAGGUCUUCAUUUCUUCUCCAGAAACUCACUGGAUCUCUCCCUUUGAUUCACCAGUGGAACUUUUUCUCACUGUUCUAAAAGAAAAGUCCUGGGGAUCCCUGGGUGGCGCAGCGGUUUAGCGCCUGCCUUUGGCCCAGGGUGCGAUCCUGGAGACCUGGGAUCGAAUCCCACGUUGGGCUCCCGGUGCAUGGAGCCUGCUUC